rnacentral:rRNA from 1 species
UACGUAGGGUGCAGGCGUUAAUCGGAAUUACUGGGCGUAAAGCGUGCGCAGGCGGUCUUUUAAGUCAGAUGUGAAAUCCCCGGGCUUAACCUGGGAACUGCGUUUGAAACUGGAAGGCUAGAGUGUGUCAGAGGGGGGUAGAAUUCCACGUGUAGCAGUGAAAUGCGUAGAUAUGUGGAGGAAUACCGAUGGCGAAGGCAGCCCCCUGGGAUAACACUGACGCUCAUGCACGAAAGCGUGGGGAGCAAACAGG